CUCCAGGAACUUGAAAUCAGCGGUGUCUAUUUUAGGAUGAGUCUAUGAAAUGGGAUAGGACCACCAACCCCUCAACUGGACCUGCGCAUGUCUGCUUCUAAUUUUGUGACGGUCCAGAGGCCUGUAGCCUAGUUAUGCCUGUGCAGAACAGUGAUUCCCCGGCACCUGUUCCCCAUCACCUUUCCCCACAUUGCCCACGCCUCCCUGCUGUGCACCCUGAGAAUGCUGGGCCUCUUCAUUCCUGAUCCCAUAAAUACCCAGAGCCCGUGGACUUCAGGAGACCAGCUUGAGGUUUGUGCCUGCUUUUUACUCUUUUUCACAGGCACUUCAUCUCUGGAGCUCCUGCAGAAAAAGGCAGUUUCUUUUUUUUUUUUUUUUUUAAUUUUUGGUCCUCCAUUUUAAGUAUUUUGGAGUUUUUGAACUUAAGGAUAGAGAAUUGUUUUUCGAAGCCACAGAAGUUACAGUGGGUGGCAGUUCCCACCUCGACAACUGUGGUGGUUCCUGGGAGUGGUUGGCUUCUGCUGUGUCUGGAUCCCUAACUUCAGACUCAUAGCAAAACCUUUUGAAUGAAGCUUUUAAAGGAAGAGAUUGUGACCCCCUCUAGACUGAAAUCUUGGAGGAUAAACAUCCAGAAGACUGGUUUUGUCCUUGCUGGACUGGGCCUUAUGAGAUAUAGAUGGGAAAUGGAAGCCAUGCUGCACAAAAACCGGGAACAAGGUUGCCCAAACUUGCAUGGUUCCAGAUCCUGAUGCUGACUGCUCCUUGGGGCAGGUGAACCAAAACAGAUCUCAAGUUGCUUCUCAGAAACUGCAAGAAAUAAGAGUAAUAAAGGGCUUCUACUUUCAAGAGGAGAAAGACCAACUCUAAAGCUACUGCCAGGGCCUGAGUGAGCUGGCAGGACUCAAGAGUGGUCAGAAUUCAUGGAUGACAUCUUGGUAGAGACAGAACACCGCAGAGACUGAGAAGUGAGGCUACAGAAAGUCAUCUGUAGCUGAGAUUUAAUGAGUCUCUCUGGAAAGACCAGUGGAGCCACGAACCAGGUUUGUUAACCACUACCAGCUGAAAGGGGACUUCCCAGGUGGCUCGGUGGUAAAGAAUCCUCCUGCCAAUGCAAGAGACG